AUGCACCACCGGCUCUCGCGGGUCGCCCACAGGGUCCUCUGCUGCGGCAGGCAAGCCUCCGGGGACGAUCUGAACGACGAGCGGAAUGGAUCCAUCAGGUGGGUGUUCUCGCUGAGGGAGCUCCAGUCGGCGACAAAUAGAUUCAAUUACGACAACAAGAUCGGAGAAGGCUCGCUUGGGAGCGUCUACUGGGGACAAGUUUGGGAUGGCUCUCAGAUUGCUGUUAAAAAGUUAAAGAAUGCAAGAAAUGGGACAGAAAUGGAGUUUGCUUCAGAAGUCGAAUCUUUGGGAAGAGUAAGGCACAAAAACCUCCUGAGUUUGCGGGGAUAUUGUGCUGAUGGGCCUGAACGCAUUCUGGUGUAUGACUAUAUGCCGAACUCAAGUCUUUUUGCACAUCUCCACGGAACACACUCUUCGGAGUGCCUUCUUGACUGGCGGCGGAGAACAUUUAUUGCCAUUGGUGCUGCUCGGGCUAUUGCGUAUCUUCACCACCAUGAGACACCUCCGAUAAUCCAUGGAAGCAUCAAAUCGACCAAUGUGUUACUUGAUUCGGAUUUCCAAGCACACGUCGGUGACUUUGGUCUUAUGAAGCUCAUCUCAGAUGAAAUAGAUCAUGAUAAGAUUAUCGGUGAAAACCAACGAGGCUAUCAUGCUCCUGAGUACGUCAUGUUUGGCAAGCCUACAACAGGUUGUGAUGUCUACAGCUUUGGCAUAAUACUUCUGGAGCUCACUAGUGGGAGAAAGCCAGUAGAAAAAUCAGGCUCCCAGAAAAUGCUCGGGGUCCGAAACUGGAUGCUCCCGCUGGCGAAAGAGGGUAGAUACGAUGAAAUCGCGGACUCAAAACUCAAUGAUAAGUAUUCUGAGUCUGAACUAAAGAGGGUGGUGCUGAUUGGACUAGCGUGCACACACAGAGAACCCGAUAAGAGACCGACGAUGCUUGAGGUAGUGUCCCUGCUGAAAGGUGAAUCGAAAGAGAUGCUUCUGAGGCUUGAAAAGGAGGAGCUAUUUAGGCCAGACUCGAUGGCUAGUUCCGUCGGAACGACUCCGGAAGGGAGCACCGACUGCAUUCUUAAGAAUGAUGAAGGGCUGGCUGGGGCUUGA
rnacentral:rRNA from 1 species